UACGUAGGGGGCUAGCGUUGCUCGGAGUCACUGGGCGUAAAGCGCACGUAGGCGGAUCUUUAAGUCAGGGGUGAAAUCCUGGAGCUCAACUCCAGAACUGCCUUUGAUACUGGGGAUCUCGAGUCCGGAAGAGGUGAGUGGAACUCCGAGUGUAGAGGUGAAAUUCGUAGAUAUUCGGAAGAACACCAGUGGCGAAGGCGGCUCACUGGUCCGGUACUGACGCUGAGGUGCGAAAGCGUGGGGAGCAAACAGG
rnacentral:rRNA from 1 species